rnacentral:tRNA from 1 species
AAAAUCCGUCGGACUUUAAAAUCUCCCCUUAUCCCCA